AUGGAUCCUCAUCCACUUGCUAAUCUCUUUAAGAGAUCUAAUUAUGAUGAACCUAUUGCUAGUGAACUUAGUGCACUAGAUUAUCUUUAUGAGGUUUUGCCUAAAAUUAGUGAAUCUAAAAAUUGUGAUGAAAUACUUUAUGAAGUGAUUCACGAUAGAUCUUUGAAUAAAAAGCAUGAUUGCAAUGAUUUUACUAUAAAUUCUAUUGAUGUCAAUUGUGCUAAAAAUAUGCAAAACCCUAAGCUUGGGGAUGCUAGUUUUGCUAUGUCCUCUACUUGUUGCAAUGAUCAUGAUUGGGGUGAUUCUUCUUAUGAUCUUGAAAAUUUAUUUGAUCCCCAUGAUGAAUAUGACAUUGAUAAUAUUGUUUGCAAUAAUAUUGAAAGUGGGUUUGGAAGAGUAUCAACUUUAGAUCCCACAUAUCUGGAUAAUGAUCAAUCUUAUGAAGUUUUUGAUAAAAGUGGGUUUGGAGAGGUCAUGACUUUAGUUAAUAUUAAUCCCACUAUUUCGAAAGAGUGCCAACUUCGCAUGCAUGUGGAUCGUGUUGAGAAUAUGUUAUGUGAUAGUUAUAUUGUUGAAUUUUCUUAUGAUCCUACAUGUAAUUAUUAUGAGAGAGGAAAAUAUGGUUAUAGAAAUUUUCAUGUUACUAAAUUACCUCUCGUUAUGUUAAGAUUGCUAUUGUUCCUUUCUGCUUCCUUGCAUAUGCUAGUUUUUGUUUGCUACGAUAAUUUGUUUUCCUAUAAUAUGCUUAUGCAUAGGAAGUAUGUUAGACUUAAGUGUGUUUGUCACAUGUUUUAUGAUGCUCUCUUUGUGCAUCAAUUCUUGUCUUUCUUGUGA
rnacentral:rRNA from 1 species